rnacentral:rRNA from 1 species
AACGAACGCUGGCGGCAUGCCUAACACAUGCAAGUCGAACGAAGCCUUCGGGCUUAGUGGCGCACGGGUGCGUAACGCGUGGGAAUCUGCCCUUGGGUUCGGAAUAACAGUUAGAAAUGACUGCUAAUACCGGAUGAUGUCUUCGGACCAAAGAUUUAUCGCCCAAGGAUGAGCCCGCGUAGGAUUAGGUAGUUGGUGGGGUAAUGGCCCACCAAGCCGACGAUCCUUAGCUGGUCUGGGAGGAUGAUCAGCCACACUGGGACUGAGACACGGCCCAGACUCCUACGGGAGGCAGCAGUGGGGAAUUUUGGACAAUGGGCGCAAGCCUGAUCCAGCAAUGCCGCGUGCAGGACGAAGGCCUUCGGGUUGUAAACUGCUUUGUACGGAACGAAACGGCCUGCCCUAAUACGGUGGGCUAAUGACGGUACCGUAAGAAUAAGCACCGGCUAACUACGUGCCAGCAGCCGCGGUAAU